UACAGAGGUCUCAAGCGUUGUUCGGAUUCAUUGGGCGUAAAGGGUGCGUAGGCGGCGCGGUAAGUCGGGUGUGAAAUCUCGGAGCUUAACUCCGAAACUGCAUUCGAUACUGCCGUGCUUGAGGACUGGAGAGGAGACUGGAAUUUACGGUGUAGCGGUGAAAUGCGUAGAGAUGUGGAGGAAUACCGAUGGCGAAGGCAGCCCCCUGGGCCAAUACUGACGCUCAUGCACGAAAGCGUGGGGAGCAAACAGG
rnacentral:rRNA from 1 species